rnacentral:rRNA from 1 species
UACGGAGGGUGCGAGCGUUGUUCGGAAUCACUGGGCGUAAAGGGCGUGUAGGCGGUCCGCUAAGUCUGAUGUGAAAGCCCGGGGCUCACCCCCGGAAGGGCAUUGGAAACUGACGGACUCGAGUCCCGAAGAGGAGGGUGGAAUUCCUGGUGUAGCGGUGAAAUGCGUAGAUAUACGGAGGAACACCAGCGGCGAAGGCGGGUAGCUGGGCCAACACUGACGCUGAUGCGCGAAAGCUAGGGUAGCAAACGGG